rnacentral:rRNA from 1 species
CUUCUAAACCUUUGACGAUUGACUCAUGUUGCCUCGGCGGGUCCUCCCGCCAGAGGAUACAUCAAAACUCCUGUUUUAACGGUGUUGUCUGAGCUACAAGCAACGAAUCAAAACUUUCAACAACGGAUCUCUUGGUUCUGGCAUCGAUGAAGAACGCAGCGAAAUGCGAUAAGUAGUGUGAAUUGCAGAAUUCAGUGAAUCAUCGAAUCUUUGAACGCACAUUGCGCCCCUUGGUAUCCCGAGGGGCAUGCCUGUUCGAGCGUCAUUUCACCACUCAAGCCUGGCCUGGUGUUGGGCGACGUCCCCAUUUAGGGACGCGCCUCAAACGCUCGGCGGCGUGGCACCGGCUUUAAGCGUAGCAGAAUCUUUCGCUUUGAAAGUCGGGGCCCCGUCUGCCGGAAGACCUACUCACAAGGUUGACCUCGGAUCAGUAGGGAUACCCGCUGAACUUAAGCAUAUCAAUAA